GAUUGUUUUACCUCCAGGAUUGUUGAUUUGUGGUUUCUUUUUUUUUUUCUUUAGCGUUUCGGCUUUCCGAACAAAUCCAUAAACCGACACGGCACCGCAGAUGCACGGAAGCCGACACACACAUGCACCGGUCUCCAUUUUAGCUCGCUCCAGCUGCAGGUGGGGCUGUGUGAUGGCCGACACUCUGCUUUGAGGUGCAACGCGUCGAUGCAGCUUCCUCCAACUUGCAUGCUAACACACAGGAGCACGUGCGAGCACAUAUGUAUGCACACGCCGCAUCCCAUCCCUUUCGCUCUCUCACACAUGCAAACGCACUCGGCCGCGCGCUGUGAUUGAUUCGGGAGUGAUGAAGCCGAGGAAACGUGCGCACGGAUCCAUAACAACACCGGCCAGCUAUUCAAAUGCGCCUGCAUCGAGAAAAGCACGGAGAGAAGCUCGGCACCGGAGCAGGAAAAGAGAGGCUUUAUGCGGGAAAACGGAGACAUUUUUGCGGUUGGAAACGGGGCACGCACGCAGCGGCUCAGGAUGUUUACCUCGGUCAGGAUUUGGGACUGUGGCGGCUCUGGAGAGGAGCUGGAAGCCGCUGGAACCGCAGCAGGAGGAGGAUGACUGCUGGGACAAACACCGACGGAGGAGAAGCCGGGAUGCCAGCUCAUCCUCUGCUGCUUUUUUUAUUAUUUGCAACUGGCAUGUGGAGUUAAAGAGUUUAUGUAAAUUGAUGUUCAGGCUCUGUCGGUCUGUGCGCUGCUGAAUGGAGGGAUGAUAAAGAUGCAGGACAGAAUGGGAUCCUGCGGUAAAGUCGGUGACUACAGUAUGAGUGUGUGCGCGCUGGAUGGUCGUGCGUGUGCAUGUCUGUGUUUAUGCGUGGCGCAGAAGAAGAAGGAGAAGAGUUUAAAUGCAGACAUUUGAACCCUGGCACCCUGUUGAGAGGAGACGUGGAGGAAAUAAAGGGUGCUGUCCGAUUCUGACGCACACCUUCAGACUGUUUCUGUGACGCAUCUGCACAGAAACUCACUGCAGCUGCGCCACAUUUUAGCCUACAAUAUCUGCAUUCUGGCAUUAGUUUAUAGCAAAUAUGUUUGUUAGUUUCUUAUUUAAAUAUUCGGAUUAAUUAAACGCUCCUGUGAUCAUGUUGUCUCAGUCCGCAGUGGGCAAUAUUACAACGAAUUGCGCAUGGAUUUGCGUUUUAAUACGCUGAAGCUUUGCCAUUUCAAAUGCGAGCUUAGUUUAAUCAAUGUUGAAUUUUAAAGUUAAACGUAGGAAAUGUGUUUCUAAUGAUACAUAUGUGGCACAUGAUCGUCCACACACGCACACACUCCAGGGUUUAGGUGUGGUGAGGUGCUGUGGUAAAUAGAAACGGGCCUUACGCAUUUUGCGCAUUUAUUUGAAUUGAAUAUUUAAAUGCAAAAACAAACGCAUCGCAAAGGAUGAUUGUGUCGCAAAGCAUGCUGUCAGGUAUUGGAAAUCAGCCCCACCCUCAUGUUGUUACCACAUAAAACAAGCAUACAUGUUGAUCUCAUUUUAGGCAACGUUAAAUAGUAAAACACGAUUGAUUGGGCACAAAAUGAUAAAGAAUGGUUUGGUAUAAUCUGGGAAAUAUUUAUGCAAGUAGGAAAUUAUUGACAUAUUGUAAAACCAACGUCGUGUGAUCUUUUUUUCCAGUUACCAAAACAGUGACAAGUUCUGUUGUAUUUAUGAGUUUGUUAAAAUGUCAGAAGUUUUUUCUUAGCAAGUUUUUAAUACAGCCUUCUAAAAAUGGGAUAAAUUAGUGACACUUUUUUUUAAAAAAUAGAGAAAUUGUGGCACCAAAAAUACACAGCAUUAAGCUACAUUCUCAGAAAUCUCCCCACAAAUUAGAAAGACGCUUUUCAAUAUCCCGCAAAACGGAUUAUAAAAGUCCCUGAAGCCACACAGCCUGUUGGAGGGAAGAAGUCAUUUGGGUUCGAGGCGCUCAGUUCGUGGGGCUGGUUUGGCUAUCGUUGACACGGUUGUGUUGCCAUAAUUGAAGUCUCACCAAAGUUACAGGGAGUAAUUGGGCGGCAUAUGGACACCUUAAUGUAAAGUGAUGCCUUAUUAAUUUCACAUGAGUGCACGAAUCAGAGCAAGUGACGCGGAAUAACACAGGAGGAGAGGCAGUUGAUUUACCCGUGAGCAAGGCAGCAGGUCCGGCAUCUGCUGCUCCUCCAUGAAGGCAUUUUUAUUAUUAAUUAGGGAGAAAUAAAAAGUAAAUUCCUUAAUCACAGGGAUUAAACUUCCAGUCGUCGUGUUGUUACAGCCCAGAGGUUUAUUUUUUCCUACUUGCUCAGGCUGUUUAACAAACUUUACACCAGCUCGUCUUGAAUUCUCUUCAUGGGAUUUAAAACAGUAGAAGCUUUAAAAAAAAAAAACAGGGAAAAAAAUUAUUAGAUUAAGAUUAUCUCUCUGAAGCUGUUAAUGUCAUUUUGGUUUGUCGCCUGUGAGGUGGUUGUAUUUAUUAUUAUUAUUAUUAUUAUUAUUCACAUCCCUAAGUUAUAUUUGCUUUUCGGGCGCAGAAUAAAGAGAACGCUUUAAAACGAUAGAAUUUAAUAGUAUUUGAAUUUGUAAACAAGCUGGCAAUCCUGUAAGAAAUAACUUCAUAAUGUAAAUAAUCACCUCAUUCAAAUGCACAAUAAUUAAAAUGGGCCACGCCUAAAAUGCCACUGACAAAGUGCAUAUAGAAAAAACAGAUAUUUUGGGGUUUGUUUAUUAUAACAAAUCGCAGGCCUUAGCUCGAGUCCCUCCAGGAAUUAUAAUUUUAUUCAGUAUUGAUUGGCGCGGUGUGCUGUGUUUUCAAGGCCUAUACUUCAAAUAUGCUGUAAAGGCCAGUCACCAACGCUGCAAUGCACAUAAAAAGCAACAAAAAACAGAGGAAUCAUUUCAUAUCUUCUCAAAUAUUUUAGGCUUUAAAAUCAUCGUCAAGAGGAUGUGACUCUAAAUCCAUUUAAUCUAAAUUUAGACAAGCAUCAUAUGCAUGCAGAUUUUAAAGGUGAACCAGUAAAUUAAUUUAUUGCUUCAAAACGAUAAAAAAAAAAAAAGCAAGAGCAGCGUGAUUUAUUUUCUAAAGGCCAAUUCACUUUGUCCACAUGUAUGCGCCCUUAUAUUACAGGAGUUCAUGCGCCUUAAAUGACCAGACAGGCCCAACUCAAGUAGGCUCAUUUAUAAAAGUUUAGUUUCACCAGAUGCCAUUUAGCAAAAGGCUUAUUCCUAAACAAGCUGUAAUUGUCAUUUUGAACAUCUAUAAGGCUUGCAACACUGUGUCAUUUUGCAGAGCUGCUGAAAUAUUGAUCCACGGUCCUCUCUGCGAGGCAUUAUAUUGUUUCUGCUCGGAUAUGCUGCUGUGGGCUUCACGGGAAUGAUGCCCCAGAUUAAUAAUCAGUGUGAAACCAGUAAGUAAUUGACACAGUGGCUCUCGGUGCCCAGUCCCUGCUCUCACUUUUGCUCUGGCACAAUAUUUGUUUGUUUGUUUUCGUUUCUUUUUGUAUAAGAUUUGACCAUGGAAACGAAAAAGAGAAUAGAUUUUUUUCCCUCCCCCUCUAAACUCGCCUACAUUUCCACAUGCGCACGUAUAGAUCUGUGUUGCACUACUUGUUGGUCUGUGCCUCGGUUUUUCCUUUGUACUAAUUGAAUUGAAUUCCGCUUGAAAUGUAUCCUCUUUCAGAAGUGCUCAGAAAAGCGUGUCCCUUACAUUCUCUGCAAAGCAAAUGUCACAGGCUCGUAGGGCCAGGCCUAUUUCUGCACAAUGGCCAUAGAGAGGCAGCACACAUAAACACACACUCACACUCACACACACACAGCUCCGGUCGUGCAGACGUGGCAGGAGCCUAUCGAUCCGUAUGAGAAUGUGUAGAUGAGGUUUGCUGCCAAGUAAGGCCAAACCUUUCGUACUCAUCUCCGUCUGCAUCUCGCUUGUCCCCGUGCGUAAAAGCGCAAUAAAUAAAAGUUUCACUGUCAGACAGAGUUGUUUUAUUUUAUAGAUUACCAUAAAGAUGAAUUAUAGUUUGGCUGUAGAAUAAUAAUAAUAAUAAUAAAAGAUUAAACUGAUGCGCUACUUCCCAACACAGUGGAGCUAUUUUUAACAUUAAUAUAAUUCUGUUCACGGUGUUUUUGUUUCCCUGUUGUGAGCUCCAUUUGCCGGCCUCCAAAGUCCAUUAUGUGCACGCUUGGGCAGCCACACUUCGAGGAAUUAGUGGCCCCCAUUGUCUCGACACACGUCACACACACGCCGUUGACAUUGACUUCACAUCAGAGACAGUUUAACUUCUUCUCUCUUUUCUUUCUGUUCUUUUAUUCAACUCGUUCAACCGAGCGCUGGCUCUAUUGUGGGUGGGGUGGGGGGCCCUGACAGAUGCGGGGCCCCUAGCAGGUCCAGGACAGGGAAAAGUCUGAAAGGUUAAUCUGUCCCCCCGCAGAUGUUGGCUUUGGGAGUCUUGAAGCGUCACCUUUGACAUGUCCCUCAUUCAGCGGGGGGUCCAGAAGGACACUGACCGCUGCAAGCUGUCACCUCCAGGCCGGCUGAGGACGCCCUGCGCUUAUAUACCGCUCUAUUAGGCUAAACGGCGCCUGACAUGGAAGCGAAGGGGGCCCGACUCUGAUCAGGCUGCAGGUUCUGGAGAGCUUGACGCAUAACGCACGACCACAGCGCAUGGGUAUAGCAGUCAUGUCAUGUGUCAGCAUGUUGGAUUUGCUCACAACUGCUGUGUUUGUGUCCAUUUGCAGGCCUUCGUUUGGAAUCUUCUCUCAAUAAAAAUCGCUUAAUUUGAAUUAAA